rnacentral:rRNA from 1 species
UGCGGAGGGUGCAAGCGUUAUCCGGAUUCACUGGGUUUAAAGGGAGCGUAGGUGGGCUGGUAAGUCAGUGGUGAAAUCCCCGAGCUUAACUUGGGAACUGCCAUUGAUACUAUUAGUCUUGAAUACUGUGGAGGUUAGCGGAAUAUGUCAUGUAGCGGUGAAAUGCUUAGAUAUGACAUAGAACACCAAUUGCGAAGGCAGCUGGCUACACAAAUAUUGACACUGAGGCUCGAAAGCGUGGGGAUCAAACAGG